ACAGAAGACGAAGAGCUGGAAUAGAGCUCGCCUCGGCUCUGCUGGCCUUGGCUGCAGCUCUUCCAGAAACCCGGGGCGCCCACAGAAGAAUCUCUUACCUGGCUCUCUCUUCAGGGAUGACAUCAUCGGCUCACACCAGUCUUCCAGGACCACCUUCUGGAUGCCAAGGCUGCUGCUCGAGUACCUGCUGUGCACCUCUACCUCCUGGUACCCCAGCCACUCCCUCAAGUUGCCUGCAUGUUAUAUGGCCUAGCCAAGGAGCACGGAUUCCAGGAACCCACUACCAUACAGAGCAACUCCUUGUGGACCCCCCUGGGAUCAGGACAGCGAGGGACAAGCGACAAAGAGGAUCAUCAGUGGCCAGCUAGUUUCUCUGGGGUUCAAACCUUGAACCAGUGCCCUAGUGAGGGGGCACUGGCCAUGGCCCUUGACCUUUGCUCUGCUUGUGUCUUGAGUCUGAGCCCUUUCCUGUACAUCUGUGCUCGUGUUCAUCUGCUAGUGAACUGGAGUGCUGCCCUCCCCGAGGAGGGUCGUCCCUUGUGACUGAUCAUGCUGUCCUAACAAUGUCCUGAGCAAAAGGGUCCCUUUGGGAACCUCUCAGGAGGGGGACCCGGGUCAGGGGCGACCAGCAUCUUGCUGGCAACUCCGUGGGUGGGGUGGGGUGGGGUGCUUCCUUCUGGAAUGAGCACGUGGCUGACCCCCCAAGGCAUGUCCCCUCCCCCUCCUCCACCCACCUUCUCGGAGAUGUCCCUUUUGGGGUAGUGGGGACAUUAGGAGCAACCUCCUAGGGUUGUUGUGAGAAUUAAAUGAACUGCAGCAGCCUGAGGCAGGGCUGGGCAGAGACCUCAGCACAUGUUUGUUGAAAGGUUUGCAGGUGGAUCUAGUCCUCCCGUUCAUGGCUCAUGUGUCUCAACCAUUCUCUCGCAGACUCCUGCAGCCCCUAUGCCCAGGGCUCUCCUUGCGCCAGCCCCGGCUUCUCGAGGCCUGUCUACACUCGCUGCUUUCCUUCCUCACCUCCAAUUUCCCCUCCAACCCACUGCUUCCUGACUCGCUCUUCUCCAUCGAACGGCUCUCGCUCAGGCCUGUCGCGUCUUCCUGUGCCAUUUGCUGUUGUGCUCAGGUUCCACGAGCUGCCCAUCUCCACAGAAGAGCAGCUGGCAUUGCCCACCGGCCAUGCCGGCUGAAGAAAAGAAGACUGAGGACCCCAGGAUGCCCAGCGCGAGGACCCCAGGAAGCCCAGCGCGAGGACUCCACCCACGACGCCCAGCGCGAGGACUUCACGCACAACACGUUGCAACCCUCCUGGAUUAGGGUGAGUCACUUGCGCCGGUAAACACAACUUUGUUAGAAUCCACUAACAUUACAUCUUCACUUUAGAAGUUGUACAGGGGGAGGGUGCACCUUACCAAGCGCCGCACACUCGCCUGGACGCUGCCUGGAGCUGAGAGAAAGACUGUUGCCACGAGACAGCACGCGUGGGAGUCCCUCCUGGACCCUGUCUAGCAGGGACCAGAGACGCCAAAGCCAUCAUCUGGAAUCCUGCGUGGGACCCUGGACACACGGACACAGACACCUGCCCCCAGGACCCUCCAACUGUAAAUCCCUCUACAGCCACGGGGACGCCUUGCACAUUUCCUGUGGGACAUGCUGGACCCAAGACUCUGGACCCUGGCCUCCCCUUGAGUAGAGAGACCCACCUACUGACUGAUGAACUGCGCUGACCCUGGGGUCAGGCAUGUGGCCUUGAUCCCUACCCAUGGACCCUGAGACUUGGGGGGGUGGGAGAAAGGCUGUUGUGUCUUCACUGUUGAGUCUACAUCUGUGAAAUGGGCUCAGGUUCCUACCUCACAGGGCUGUUGUGAGGCAGCCGCAAUGUGCUUAGAAGCAUGGGGCCUAGUGGCUCAUGGUGCUUUCAAUAAAUUUCUUGUUUUAAC
rnacentral:lncRNA from 1 species